rnacentral:rRNA from 1 species
AACGAACGCUGGCGGCAUGCCUAACACAUGCAAGUCGAACGAGACCUUCGGGUCUAGUGGCGCACGGGUGCGUAACGCGUGGGAACCUGCCCUUAGGUUCGGAAUAACUCCCCGAAAGGGGUGCUAAUACCGGAUAAUGUCUUCGGGCCAAAGAUUUAUCGCCUUUGGAUGGGCCCGCGUUGGAUUAGCUAGUUGGUAGGGUAAAAGCCUACCAAGGCGACGAUCCAUAGCUGGUCUGAGAGGAUGAUCAGCCACACUGGGACUGAGACACGGCCCAGACUCCUACGGGAGGCAGCAGUGGGGAAUAUUGGACAAUGGGCGAAAGCCUGAUCCAGCAAUGCCGCGUGUGUGAUGAAGGCCUUAGGGUUGUAAAGCUCUUUUACCCGGGAUGAUAAUGACAGUACCGGGAGAAUAAGCUCCGGCUAACUCCGUG